rnacentral:lncRNA from 1 species
UCGUUUUUCCAACUCAAACAUGCGGUAGCCAGAAACUCCAACCUAGGAUGACAUAUAUAAAAAUUAGUUCAUAGAGAUUAGGUAGAGUAAUGAUAACAACUUAUUGAAGUAAAUCUUCUGAUACUUGGAAGUUGGAAUUGAUACCAAUACCAACAUGUACAUAUGAAUCAUCUAACCUGGUCUUCGGAAAUCCUGGACAUGUCAUUUUGGUCUCAAGUCCUGGACAUGUACGUAUGGAUGCAUUUUGCAAGGGAAAUAAGUUAUGUUCCAACCCAAACUUCAAUUCCUCUUUAUUGCCAUUCCCCACAACAACCAUUUCAACACCUAAGGCACCAAACUAUUAGUAGCCAAUCUCUAACCCCAAUUGUAAUCAAAAUCGAACAUGCUCUAAGCCUUACCAUGAUUAAUUCCUUGCAUGACCAAAUCAGCAGCUCUCUUCCUCUCCAAAACUUGUUGUUGUAGAUCCCCAAAUCUCAUGCAUAUGCCCCAAAAUCGACGAAGACACAGUACUCCACACCUCACAGAUACCAAAACAGCUGAUAAUCCAGUUCAGUACAGAGGCUUCGACUAAGAAAAGGAAGACGGGGUUACCUAUCAAAUACUGAGAGCGGCGGAGCUAGGGUGGAGCCAUGGCGGCUCUAAUCGGAACUAGAGAUCUGGACCGGCCUCGCCUCGCCGUGCACAGUUAUAAAAGAGAGAAGAGAGAUUGAAUCAUUUGAGAGAUUGAAUCGAUUUGAGAGAAGAGUGAGAAAGCUAAGUGAGCGACAGAGUUGAGAGAGAGGGCGAGAGUCUCGAUCUGUUUGAGAGUGAGAGUUGAGAGUCGAUCUGUUUGGUGGGUUUAGGGUGAAUGAAUGCGAGGGAGAGAGAGACAUCGAUAUGAAUGCGAGAGAGUGAGAGUGUGAGACUAGCGUUUAGGGUUGGUGGGUAUGUUAUUAAAUUUGUCUAACUUUUUCACACAACAGAAUAUAUACUCGGAGGGAAACUUUGGAGCCAAAACUAUUUUGACAUAGCACACCAAAUCGAUAGAGGCAAACUUUGGAGCCAAAACGACUUUGGCAUGCCACCAGAUUUUCCAGUCACAUAACAAAAUGUUUUAAACUGUUGUAUAUAUUUUCUAAACUUGCACUAGGUAUUGCCUAGUAUAAAUUGUAACAACAUCAUACAACAAAAAAAUAAAAGUCUAUUGUCCAAACAUUUUGCAUCUUGCACGACUUUCAAUUUGGUGAUGGGGGAAUCCUUCCGUCAAAAUUUUCAUAAACCAUACAACAUAAAAUUAGCAUCAUUGUUGUGUUUUGAACUCUUGAAAUAUAACCUGACAAUUUUGUGUCAUCAAACAACAAAACUUUGUAACUUUACGUUAUAUAUAACAGUUCACUUCAUCAGACAAGUAAGGAAGCCUAAAAGAUUGUCUGAUGAGUGUUGUCUGAUAACGUUU